GACGAACGCUGGCGGCGUGCUUAACACAUGCAAGUCGAACGGGUCUGCCCUGUUUUUUGCGGGGUGGGUCAGUGGCGAACGGGUGAGUAACACGUGAGUAACCUGCCCCUCACUUCUGGAUAACCGCUUGAAAGGGUGGCUAAUACGGGGUGUUCUGGCUGUGCCGCAUGGUGUGGCUGGGAAAGAUUCACUUUUGUGGUGUUUUGGUGGGGGAUGGGCUCGCGGCCUAUCAGCUUGUUGGUGGGGUGAUGGCCUGCCAAGGCUUUGACGGGUAGCCGGCCGGGGAGGGUGGGCGGUCACACUGGGACUGAGAUACGGCCCAGACUCCUGCGGGAGGCAGCAGUGGGGGGUAUUGCACAGUGGGCGGAAGCCUGAUGCAGCGACGUCGCGUGAGGGAUGGAGGCCUUCGGGUUGUGAACCUCUUUCGCCGGUGAAGAAGGUCCUGCUCUUUGUGGUGGGGUUGACGGUAGCCGGGUUAUGAAGCGCCGGCUAACUACGUG
rnacentral:rRNA from 1 species